CAAUAGCGUAUAUUUAAGUUGUUGCAGUUAAAAAGCUCGUAGUUGGAUUUUGGAUGUGGCAGGCCGGUCCGCCGUUUCGGUGUGCACUGGCAAGCUGCAUCUUUCUGUCGAGGACGCGCUUCUGGCCUUUAUUGGUCGGGACGUGGAGUCGGCGAAGUUACUUUGAAAAAAUUAGAGUGUUCAAAGCGGGCCUACGCUUGAAUAUAUUAGCAUGGAAUAACACUAUAGGACUCCUGUCUUAUUACGUUGGUCUUCGAGAUGGGAGUAAUGAUUAAGAGGAACAGUUGGGGGCAUUCGUAUUUCAUUGUCAGAGGUGAAAUUCUUGGAUUUAUGAAAGACGAACUUCUGCGAAAGCAUUUGCCAAGGAUGUUUUCAUUAAUCAAGAACGAAAGUUGGGGGCUCGAAGAUGAUCAGAUACCGU
rnacentral:rRNA from 1 species